rnacentral:rRNA from 3 species
CUGGACCUCGGAUCAGGCCAGGCUACCCGCUGAAUUUAAGCAUAUCAAUAAGCGGAGGAAAAGAAACUAACUAGUAUUCCCCUAGUAACGGCGAGCGAAGCGGGAACAGCUCAAAUUUGAAAUCUCCGGUGCCUGCACCGGCGAAUUGUAGUCUAUAGGGCCAGUUUCGCCAGACGCGGUGUCCCCAAAGUCGUCCUGGAAAGGCGGGCCAGAGAGGGUGAGAGCCCCGUGUGCGGGGGCACUGCGGAAGGUAAGAUCUGUGCCCAAAGAGUCGGGUUGUUUGGGAUUGCAGCCCAAAAUGGGUGGUAAACUCCAUCUAAAGCUAAAUACUGGCACGAGACCGAUAGCGAACAAGUACCGUGAGGGAA